rnacentral:rRNA from 1 species
AUCAGGGUUCGAUUCCGGAGAGGGAGCCUGAGAAACGGCUACCACAUCCAAGGAAGGCAACAGGCGCGCAAAUUACCCAAUCUAGACAGUAGGAGGUGGUGAAGAGAAUUACUAGGUGGUGACUCAAUGAGUUACCAGUUUGGAAUGAACGUAACUUAAGAAAUUCGAUGAGAAACAACUGGAGGGCAAGUCCUGGUGCCAGCAGCCGCGGUAAUUCCAGCUCCAGUAGUUUGAUUUAAAGUUGUUGCGUUUAAAACGCUCGUAGUUGGAUCACGCAGCAGUGUUCAGUAAUCUUCCACUGUGCCGCGCGCCAGCUGUAUAGCACGAGCCCACUUGUGGUGCUGUGAUAUCAGUUUAACGCGCACACGUGUGUGUAGAUACCAACGCUGAGCACUGCUAGUUGCACGUGAGAUGGAUUGUUGGCCUUGAAUGAGCCGGUAUUCUCGUCUUGCGGAGUGUGCCUUGAAUAAAACAGAGUGCUUAAAGCAGGUCAUUGCCUGAAUGUUAUAGCAUGGAACGAACAAUCGUGUACAUGUAUCGACUGUGCAUCGGCGAUGGGCCUUAGGUCUGUCGUUGUUCACGGCCGAUACGGCACCCACCAAAGUAUGGCUGUUGGUUCCCAUAUACGGUGAUGAUUAAAAGGAGCGGUUGGGGGCAUUGGUAUUUGGCCGCGAGAGGUGAAAUUCUUAGACCGGCCAAGGACUAACAAAUGCAAAGGCAGUUGUCUAGACCGUUUCCGUUAAUCAAGAACGAAAGUGGGAGGUUCGAAGACGAUCAGAUACCGUCCUAGUUCCCACUGUAAACUAUGCCGACCUGGGAUCAGUCUAGAG